rnacentral:rRNA from 1 species
UCAAGCAAGAAGAGGUUUGCGGCGGAUGCCUGGGAGCUGUCCGGCGAAGAAGGCCGCGGUAAGCUGCGAAAAGCUGCGGGGAGGAGCACACAUCCUUAGAUCCGCAGAUAGCCGAAUGGGGUAACCCGUAUGCCGCAAGGCAUACACCGCGCGCGGGAAGAAGAUACUGCGGCGGAGCGAUACUGCGUGAAGUGAACCAUCUAAGUAACGCGGGAAGAGAAAUCAAAAGAGAUUGCGCAAGUAGCGGCGAGCGAACGCGCAGGAGCCUAAACCCUUAUGUAGGGUGUUGCAGGGCCGCACGGGGAUGACCCGUGGAGUUGGUGAGAAAACCGAUAUGUAGCGGAAGCGUCUGGAAAGGCGCGCGAGACAGCGUGAAAGCCGCGUAUGCGAAAGAUAUCGGACUCCAUGGUGCGGUACCUAAGUAGGGCGGGGCACGAGAAACCCUGUUUGAAUCCGGGUCGACCACGAUCCAAGGCUAAAUACGAGACAGCUACCGACAGCGAAGAGUACCGUGAGGGAACGGCGAAAAGAACCCCGGCGAGGGGAGUGAAAGAGAACCUGAAACCGCAAACCGACAAGAUGUCACGGCCUGAGAGGGUUGUGGCGUGUCUUUUGUAGAAUAAACCUGCGAGUUGCGAUGCGCGGCGAGGCUAAGGGUUGGGAGAUCCGGAGCCGGAGCGAAAGCGAGUGUGAAAAGUGCGAAAAGUCGCGUGUCGCAGACCCGAAGCCAAGGUGAUCUAAUUAUGGGCAGGCUGAAGGCAGGGUGAAACCUGUUGGAGGGCCGAACAGUAAUCUGUUAAAAAAGGUAGUGAUGACCUGUGAUUAGGAGUGAAAGGCUAAACAAACCUGGAAAUAGCUGGCUCUCCCCGAAAUGCCUUUAGGGACAGCCUCAUGCAAAGCGGAAGGAGGUAAAGCACCGGAUGGGAUAGGGGGCGUCACAGUCUACCGACACCAAUCGAACUCAGAAUGCCAUCCGCCAACGCAUGGGAGUGAGACUGUGUGCUCCAAGGUUCAUAGUCGAGAGGGAAACAGCCCGGACCGACGGCAAAGGUCCCGAAAUAACGCUCAGUGUGAAAUGAGGUGCGUCUGCACAGACAGCCAGGAGGUUGGCUCAGAAGCAGCCAUUCCUUAAAAGAGUGCGUAACAGCUCACUGGUCGAGCAGGCGUGCGCAGACAAUGUAACGGGGCUAAGCGUUAUACCGAAGCCGCGGGUUCGUACCGCACGGUACGGACGGUAGGGGAGCAUUGCGCUAACCGAAGAAGGCGUACCUGUGAGGGGCGCUGGAGGAAGCGGAAGAGAGAAUGCAGGCACAAGUAACGAAAAGACGGGUGAGAUUCCCGUCCGCCGAAAGCCUGAGGAUUCCCGGGUAAAGGCAAUCUGCCCGGGGUAAGUCGGCCCCUAAGGCGAGGACGAAAGUCGUAGUCGAUGGGAAAUCGGUUCAAAAUCCGAUACCCGGCUCAGUUUUGAAGGCAGGACGCAUGAGGUGAAAUCCGGCAGGAGAACGGUAGAUUCUGUCCAAGCGGUAAGGUGUUGAGAGGGCGGUUAAAAGAGCCCUUGAGCUGAGCCGUUACGGGGAGCGGAGCGCAGGCGAAGCGAAGCGGAUGUAAUCAAGGUGCCGGGAAAUACUGUCUAAAGCUAGGCUGAGUCGGACCGUACCGGAAACGGACACACGCAGGCAGGAUGAGUAAUCUAAGGCGCACGAGCGACCCCGCGUUAAGGAACUCGGCAAAAAGCACACGUAACUUCGGAAGAAGUGUGGCUCACGCUGAUAAGGAUGUGAGCGGCAGAAAGCAGGCCCAGGCGACUGUUUACCAAAAACACAGCCAUCUGCGAACCGGCAACGGGACGUAUAGGUGGUGACACCUGCCCGGUACCGGAAGGUUAAGGGGAGGGGUUAGCAGCAAUGCGAAGCUCCGAACCGAAGCCCCGGCAAACGGCGGCCGUAACUAUAACGGUCCUAAGGUAGCGAAAUUCCUUGUCGGGUA